UACGGAGGGUGCGAGCGUUAAUCGGAAUUACUGGGCGUAAAGGGUGCGUAGGUGGUUAAUUAAGUUAUCUGUGAAAUCCCUGGGCUUAACCUGGGCAGGUCAGAUGAUACUGAUUGACUCGAGUACGGGAGAGGGUAGUGGAAUUUCCGGUGUAGCGGUGAAAUGCGUAGAGAUCGGAAGGAACACCAGUGGCGAAGGCGGCUACCUGGCCUGAUACUGACACUGAGGCACGAAAGCGUGGGGAGCAAACAGG
rnacentral:rRNA from 1 species